AGAAGCCGUGUGAGAUCAAACCGACAAAGGAACACUUGUCGCCACGUCAGCACGUUGAUUCCUACACCGACUCAGAAUUCUCCACGUGUCUUCCCAAACGGCUAGUUUUUCUUAGCCGUCUUUUGCUUACCCAAGAAAGGAAGGGAGAAGGAAGGUAAACAAAUUUAAAAAUUAAACAAAUAAAAAUUGAAGAUAUUUUUGCCCAAGGAAGUUCCGGGUGUUUUACAUUUCUAUAAAAUAAAGGGAAAUUACCUAGAAUAACUCACAUUUUUGGGUAAUGACUAGAAUGACUUGUAAAAAAAACAAAAAAUUGAAAACUACUAUCAAAAGUCUAAAAUACCCCAUAGAUAAAUGAAUUCAAAAUAUAAUAUCUUAUUUUGAAAUAUAAACUUUAUUAAAAAAACUAGAAAAGAUAACAAUUAAAAAAUAUCAUUCCCGAUCAAAGACAAAAAAAGACGCUCCCCACCAAAACCCUUUUUCCAGUAACAGAUGAACCCUAAAUCCUCUAUUCUCAACUCUGUUCUCCUUCGUUUUGACAUGAUUUCUCCUUGAUUCGAUCUUGUUCGCAUUCUCAU
rnacentral:lncRNA from 1 species